UGAGAGGAUCUGCAAAGAACAAUGGGAGAAACUCCCUAAAUACAGGUGUGCCAAGCUUGUAGUGUCACCCAAGAAGUCUCAAGGCUGUAAUCGCUGCCAAAGUUGGAGGCUGAGUUGGACAAGUAGCUGGAGAAGUCUACUGGGUCAGGAGACUGGAUGGCCAACGCCAAACAGAUCACAUGGUCCUGGCUGAGGGACGCACUCAAAUCCCGCUGUAUCACCAGGGACCUGAAGUGGGGAACCCCCGUACCUCACCUCAACUUCUCUGACAAGGUGUUCUAAGUGUGGUUUGAUACUCCUAUUGGUUACCUGUCCAUCACAGCCAACUACACUGACCAAUGGGAGAAGUGGUGGAAGAAGGUAUGUAGCAGGUAGAGCUGUAUAACCGUUACACUGUGUUGUGUCCCCCUGCUCUGGUCAACCACCUGGACAGGGACAGGACUCUGCCUUCUCCUGGGCCGACAUGGCCAUCCAGAACAACUCUGAACUGCUCAAUAACCUGGGCAACAUCAUCAACAGAGCUGGUGUUUGUCAGUAAGUUCUUUGAGAACUGUGUCCCUGCUAUGUAGCUUCAGCAGGAGGAUAAGAGACUGUUGUCCCAGGUGGGAUGGGAGCUGAAGCAGGACAUCAACCUCAUGGACAAAGUCAAGUAAAGAACAGGCUACACACACACACUGUAAACAGGCUACACACAACCAAGUUACACACCAACAGACUAUCAACGUGUUGUUAUGCAUUUAUAAGCUAAGUAGUAUUUCUCCUUAAAAGUUGAGUUGAUAGCAUUACCGCUCCAUAUAGACUGACAAAUGGAUGGUGCUAUCCCAUCUCUUUUCUUUUCUGGAAGAAAAACUAUUUAGUACACACCAGUGUUUCCUCUGGAAAAUGUGUUAGCUGUGGAGGAAAAGUUAGUGGAAUAAAUAAAUAAUAAAUAAAUAAAGAAUAAUAGGAGAAGGGUGAGGGACAAAGAGGAUCUACUUUCAAAUUCAAAUGUUCUUACUUGUUUCAUUGCAGCGAAGUCCCUCUCACAAUUAACGUAAGACACUGGUAAAGUCAGUGCGAUUGCUGCCAGCUGGCUAAGGCAGGGGUGGACUGCCCCCACUCAUCAAACUGCGAGGUCAGCUUUGUCAUUGUCGUCCGCUGGUCCAACCCCUGAAAUACAUGAAAAACUAAAAGAUGUACAACAUUAAAGAAGAGCCAACAGAGUGGUAGUUCAACAGGAAAAAGGGUUGGGCAACACUGGCCUAAAAUGUCCUCUUCAAAAGAUUGUCACACUCAUGCCAUACCUUGAAUGAUCCAACAAGCACAUGUUGCUUGUAAGAGGGCCACUCUUGCAGCACAGCAGCCUCUAGCACUUGCAAUAACUGCCUGGAGAGGAGGGUCAGGUUAAAGGUGUUUAUCCUCUCACUAUAGAACGCAGCCUGAGGUCCCAACAUACUGAAGGCCCCCAGAAUCUCCAGGUGUUGGAAUCUCCAGCCUAGGCUGUCCUGGAGGCCAACAAGAUAUGGAUCCAUGACCUAAUUACAGCACAAAGCAGAAAAUAAGUGAUUAAUAGCUGUUUGUUUUAGUUUAUCCAACACACAUGAUGUAACGUUGGUUUCAUCACAGCAUUUGAAAACAAAUGUUUUUACCUCCUCUCUGAACCAAACCCAGAACUGCUCCCUGUUCUUGG